UUACGACCAUAUCACGUUGAAACACCGCUUCUCGAACGAUCACCUAAUUUAAGCAACGUGGAGCCUGGUCAGUGCCAAGAUGGGUGACCGCUUGUGAACACCAGGUGCUGUAAG